UGGGGAAUAUUGCACAAUGGGCGAAAGCCUGAUGCAGCAACGCCGCGUGAGUGAUGAAGGCCUUCGGGUUGUAAAGCUCUGUCUUUUGGGACGAUAAUGACGGUACCAAAGGAGGAAGCCACGGCUAACUACGUGCCAGCAGCCGCGGUAAUACGUAGGUGGCAAGCGUUGUCCGGAUUUACUGGGCGUAAAGGAUGCGUAGGCGGAUUUUUAAGUGAGAUGUGAAAACCCUAAGCUUAACUUGGGGACUGCAUUUCAUACUGGAAAUCUAGAGUGCGGGAGAGGAGAAUGGAAUUCCUAGUGUAGCGGUGAAAUGCGUAGAGAUUAGGAAGAACACCAGUGGCGAAGGCGAUUCUCUGGACCGUAACUGACGCUGAGGCAUGAAAGCGUGGGUAGCAAACAGGAUUAGAUACCCUGGUAGUCCACGCCGUAAACGAUGAGUACUAGGUGUAGGAGGUAUCGACCCCUUCUGUGCCGCAGUUAACACAAUGAGUACUCCGCCUGGGAAGUACGAUCGCAAGAUUAAAACUCAAAGGAAUUGACGGGGUCAUAGCUGUUUCCU
rnacentral:rRNA from 1 species